rnacentral:tRNA from 1 species
GGUGGCCGCUUGGCCUAAUGGUUAGGGCACCCGACUCCUAAUCGGGAGAUUGUGAGUUCGAAUCUCACAGUGGUCGC